rnacentral:rRNA from 1 species
GGACGAACGCUGGCGGCGUGCCUAAUACAUGCAAGUCGAGCGGACCGACGGGAGCUUGCUCCCUUAGGUCAGCGGCGGACGGGUGAGUAACACGUGGGUAACCUGCCUGUAAGACUGGGAUAACUCCGGGAAACCGGGGCUAAUACCGGAUGCUUGAUUGAACCGCAUGGUUCAAUCAUAAAAGGUGGCUUUUAGCUACCACUUACAGAUGGACCCGCGGCGCAUUAGCUAGUUGGUGAGGUAACGGCUCACCAAGGCGACGAUGCGUAGCCGACCUGAGAGGGUGAUCGGCCACACUGGGACUGAGACACGGCCCAGACUCCUACGGGAGGCAGCAGUAGGGAAUCUUCCGCAAUGGACGAAAGUCUGACGGAGCAACGCCGCGUGAGUGAUGAAGGUUUUCGGAUCGUAAAACUCUGUUGUUAGGGAAGAACAAGUACCGUUCGAAUAGGGCGGCACCUUGACGGUACCUAACCAGAAAGCCACGGCUAACUACGUGCCAGCAGCC